rnacentral:rRNA from 1 species
CCUACGGGAGGCUGCAGUGGGGAAUUUUGGACAAUGGGGGGAACCCUGAUCCAGCCAUGCCGCGUGUGUGAAGAAGGCCCUCGGGUUGUAAAGCACUUUCAGUGAGGAAGAACGCCUGGUGGUUAAUACCCAUCAGGAAAGACAUCACUCACAGAAGAAGCACCGGCUAACUCCGUGCCAGCAGCCGCGGUAAUACGGAGGGUGCGAGCGUUAAUCGGAAUUACUGGGCGUAAAGCGCGCGUAGGUGGCUUGAUAAGCCGGUUGUGAAAGCCCCGGGCUCAACCUGGGAACGGCAUCCGGAACUGUCAAGCUAGAGUGCAGGAGAGGAAGGUAGAAUUCCCGGUGUAGCGGUGAAAUGCGUAGAGAUCGGGAGGAAUACCAGUGGCGAAGGCGGCCUUCUGGACUGGCACUGACACUGAGGUGCGAAAGCGUGGGUAGCAAACAGGAUUAGAUACCCGGGUAGUC